rnacentral:tmRNA from 1 species
GGGGUUGACUGGAUUUGACAGCAGGCUGAGAUGGUACGUAAGCAUGCGGAGUGAAGACUGUAUACUCCAUAAUCCAUUCGGUCGGAAAAUUAAUUGGCGAAACAAAGUACGCUCUCGCUGCCUAAACGAAGUACAGUAGUUUACUGGCUUUAUCCUCUCACUAGGUGAGGGGACGAGACAUCGCUCUUCUGGAUGUUGUUCCGAAUCAGGAAGGUAUAGCGGUGCAGGACAAUCGGAAAUAGUCUCUUGGAAGCCUCGGCUGGGGGAUGAAGUUUUAGAGGAUAAGGUCGUAAUUGGUGGCUUGGGUCUUGUUACGACACGAAAAUGAAGACCAAGAUAAGCAUGUAGAAAGCGUAUGGUUUCCCUGUUUGGACGAGGGUUCGACUCCCUCCAGCUCCACAA